rnacentral:rRNA from 1 species
UACAGAGGGUGCAAGCGUUAAUCGGAAUUACUGGGCGUAAAGCGUGCGUAGUCGGUUAUCUAAGUCGGAUGUGAAAUCCCCGGGCUCAACCUGGGAAUUGCAUUCGAUACUGGAUAGCUAGAGUUCGGCAGAGGGAAGUGGAAUUUCGGGUGUAGCGGUGAAAUGCGUAGAUAUCAGGAGGAACACCGGUGGCGAAGGCGGUUCUCUGGGCAUUACCUGACGCUGAGGAGCGAAAGUGUGGGGAGCGAACAGG